rnacentral:rRNA from 1 species
AAUGAACGUUGGCGGCGUGGAUUAGGCAUGCAAGUCGCGCGACAAGGAACCUUCGGGUUCUGGAGGAGCGGCAAACGGGGUAGUAAGGCAUCGGAACGUACCCUCUUGUUGGGAAUAGCCGCGGGAAACUGCGAGUAAUGCCCAAUAAUCCCUACGGGGCAAAGGUCCGCCGCAGGAGGAGCGGCCGAUGUGAUACCAGCUAGUUGGUGAGGUAAUGGCUCACCAAGGCUUAGACGUCUAGGGGGUGUGAGAGCAUGGCCCCCACCACUGGGACGUGAGAUACUGCCCACGACACCUACGGGUGGCUGCAGUCGAGAAUCUUCGGCGAAUAGGGCGGCAAGCCUGACCGACGCAACGCCGCCGUGCGGGAGUGAA